rnacentral:rRNA from 1 species
AGACAAGGAGCUUGCUCCUUUGACGUUAGCGGCGGACGGGCGAGUAACACGUGGGUAACCUACCUAUAAGACUGGGAUAACUUCGGGAAACCGGAGCUAAUACCGGAUAAUAUUUCGAACCGCAUGGUUCGAUAGUGAAAGAUGGUUUUGCUAUCACUUAUAGAUGGACCCGCGCCGUAUUAGCUAGUUGGUAAGGUAACGGCUUACCAAGGCGACGAUACGUAGCCGACCUGAGAGGGUGAUCGGCCACACUGGAACUGAGACACGGUCCAGACUCCUACGGGAGGCAGCAGUAGGGAAUCUUCCGCAAUGGGCGAAAGCCUGACGGAGCAACGCCGCGUGAGUGAUGAAGGUCUUCGGAUCGUAAAACUCUGUUAUUAGGGAAGAACAUACGUGUAAGUAACUAUGCACGUCUUGACGGUACCUAAUCAGAAAGCCACGGCUAACUACGUGCCAGCAGCCGCGGUAAUACGUAGGUGGCAAGCGUUAUCCGGAAUUAUUGGGCGUAAAGCGCGCGUAGGCGGUUUUUUAAGUCUGAUGUGAAAGCCCACGGCUCAACCGUGGAGGGUCAUUGGAAACUGGAAAACUUGAGUGCAGAAGAGGAAAGUGGAAUUCCAUGUGUAGCGGUGAAAUGCGCAGAGAUAUGGAGGAACACCAGUGGCGAAGGCGACUUUCUGGU